UACGUAGGUGGCAAGCGUUGUCCGGAAUUAUUGGGCGUAAAGCGCGCGCAGGCGGUUCCGUAAGUCUGAUGUGAAAGCCCACGGCUCAACCGUGGAGGUGCAUUGGAAACUGGGGAACUUGAGUACAGGAGAGGAGAGUGGAAUUCCACGUGUAGCGGUGAAAUGCGUAGAUAUGUGGAGGAACACCAGUGGCGAAGGCGACUCUCUGAUCUGUAACUGACGCUGAGGCGCGAAAGCGUGGGGAGCGAACAGG
rnacentral:misc_RNA from 1 species